GACGAACCGUCCAAACGUUAUUCGGAAUCACUGGGCUUAAAGGGUGCGUAGGCGGCGCGGAAAGUUGGGUGUGAAAUCCCUCGGCUCAACCGAGGAACUGCGCCCAAAACUACCGUGCUCGAGGAAGAUAGAGGUGAGCGGAACUUAGGGUGGGGCGGUGAAAUGCGUUGAUAUCCUAAGGAACACCGGUGGCGAAAGCGGCUCACUGGAUCUUUUCUGACGCUGAGGCACGAAAGCUAGGGUAGCGAACGGG
rnacentral:rRNA from 1 species